rnacentral:rRNA from 1 species
CCUACGGGCGGCAGCAGUGAGGAAUAUUGGUCAAUGGGCGGGAGCCUGAACCAGCCAAGUCGCGUGAGGGAAGAAGGUCCUACGGAUUGUAAACCUCUUUUGCCGGGGAGCAACGGGGUCCUUGCGAGGGCCCGAUGAGAGUACCCGGAGCACACGCAUCGGCUAACUCCGUGCCAGCGGCCGCGGUAAUACGGAGGAUGCGAGCGUUAUCGGGAGUUAUUGGGUUUAAAGGGUGCGUAGGCGGGCUGUUAAGUCAGCGGUAAAAUGUCGGGGCUCAACCCCGGCCUGCCGUUGAAACUGGCGGCCUCGAGUGUGGGAGAAGUAUGCGGAAUGCGUGGUGUAGCGGUGAAAUGCAUAGAUAUCACGCAGAACUCCGAUUGCGAAGGCAGCAUACCGGCGCCCGACUGACGCUGAGGCACGAAAGCGUGGGUAUCGAACAGGAUUAGAUACCCCUGUAGUC